UUUAAAUCUGCUGCAUGGGUCUUACCCUUAGUGGUUAUUCCUCUGUGAAUCUGGUUAUAAAUUUUUAUAUUUUUGUUGUGUUUUCACAGGUAUUCUAGUAAUUAGAAAAAAAACUGCACCAAGGACAGCUAACCAAAUACCGUAUUGGCUGAGAAAACAUGGCUCCGGUGUAGAUACUCAGACUGAAGACUGCUUCAGCUGUACACACCCCUGAGGUGAGGCACCAGCUCUGUGAAGGCCGUGAACUGGUCCUAGAAACGUGAAGAUUUAUUAAAACAUUCUCGAGAUGGCCCAUGUGUAGCUCGGGUACAUUCUCCAGAGCCCUCCCUGCAGCUGAGCUGUCAAGGAAAAGACAACGUUGUUUAGAGAGAACAGCGAGGAUAAACCGGCUCCUCCUGGGA
rnacentral:lncRNA from 1 species